CCUACGGGAGGCAGCAGUGAGGAAUAUUGGUCAAUGGACGAGAGUCUGAACCAGCAACGUAGCGUGAAGGAUGAAUGCCCUAUGAGUUGUAACUUUCUUUUAUAAAGGAGUAAAACGCGGCACGUGUGCCUUUUGGCAUGUACUUUAUGAAUACAGAUCGGCUAACUCCGUGCCAGCAGCCGCCGUAAUAAGGAGGAUCCGAGCGUUAUCCGGAUUUAUUGGGUUUAAAGGGAGCGGAGAUGGGUUGUUAAGUCAGGUGUGAAAGUUUGCGGCUCAACCUCGGCGCUACCGCCAAGACUAUUAGACUAGAGUGCAGGAGGGGUAAGUGGAAUUCCUAGUGUAGCGGUGGAAUGCGUAGAUAUUAGGAGGAACAUCAGGUGCGAAGGCGACUUACUGGACUGUAACUGACACUGAGGCACGAAAGCGUGGGGAGCAAACAGGAUUAGAUACCCCUGUAGUC
rnacentral:rRNA from 1 species